GCACGACUCUCGGCAAUGGAUAUCUCGGCUCUCGCAUCGAUGAAGAGCGCAGCGAAAUGCGAUAUGUGGUGCGAAUUGCAGAAUCCCGCGAACCAUCGAGUCUUUGAACGCAAGUUGCGCCCGAGGCCAACCGGCCAAGGGCACGCCUGCCUGGGCGUCAAGC
rnacentral:rRNA from 1 species